UGAGUAACACGUGAGUGACCUGCCUUUUAGACUGGAACAACUUACCGAAAGGUGAGCUAAUGCCGGAUGAGUUAUAUAAGUGCAUGUUUAUAUAGGAAAAGUUGGGGAGACCUGACGCUGAAAGAUGGACUCGCGUCCCAUUAGCUAGUUGGUAGGGUAAUGGCCUACCAAGGCGACGAUGGGUAGCCGGCCUGAGAGGGUGGCCGGCCCACACUGGGACUGAGACACGGCCCAGACUCCUACGGAAGGCAGCAG
rnacentral:rRNA from 1 species